rnacentral:rRNA from 1 species
GCCCGUCACACCAUGGGAGGUCGGAAAUGCCCGAAGUCUGUGACCCAACCUGAGAGGGAGGGAGCAGCCGAAGGCAGGUCUGAUGACUGGGGUGAAGUCGUAACAAGGUACC